rnacentral:ncRNA from 1 species
UUCGGUUCACUCCGGUGACGAACAGGGAAGCAGGUGAAAAUCCCGCACUAUACCCGUAGCUGUAAGCUCUAUUCAACGCUUGAAUCAAUAAUCCACUGUCACGCUGUCGAUGGGAAGGAGAUUCAAAAGCGAGAGUAAGUCAGAAGACCUGCCGAUUGCAAAU